rnacentral:rRNA from 1 species
GACGAACGCUGGCGGCGUGCUUAACACAUGCAAGUCGAACGGACAGGCCCUGCUUUUGUGGGGUGCUCGAGUGGCGAACGGGUGAGUAACACGUGAGUAACCUGCCCUUGACUUUGGGAUAACUUCAGGAAACUGGGGCUAAUACCGGAUAGGAGCUCCUGCUGCAUGGUGGGGGUUGGAAAGUUUCGGCGGUUGGGGCUGGACUCGCGGCUUAUCAGCUUGUUGGUGGGGUAGUUGCUUACCAAGGCUUUGACGGGUAGCCGGCCUGAGAGGGUGAACGGCCACAUUGGGACUGAGGUACGGCCCAGACGCCUACGGGAGGCAGCAGGGGGGAAUAUUGCGCAGUGGGCGGAAGCCUGAUGCAGCAACGCCGCGUGCGGGAUGACGGCUUUCGGGUUGUAAACCGCUUUCGCCGGUGACGAAGCGGGAGUGACGGUAAUGGGUAAAGAAGCAACGGCUAACUACGUG